rnacentral:rRNA from 1 species
UACAGAGGUGACAAGCGUUGUUCGGAAUUACUGGGCGUAAAGGGCGAGUAGGCGGCCUUCUAAGUCAGACGUGAAAUCCCCCCGGCUUAACCUGGGAACUGCGUCUGAUACUGGGAGGCUUGAGUAUGGGAGAGGGAUGUAGAAUUCCAGGUGUAGCGGUGAAAUGCGUAGAUAUCAGGAAGAACACCCGUGGCGAAGGCGGCUCUCUGGGACGGUACUGACGCUGAGACGCGAAAGCGUGGGGAGCGAACAGG